rnacentral:tRNA from 1 species
GCCGGGGUGGCGGAAUGGGUAGACGCACGGGACUUAAAAUCCCGCGGGCUUUGGCCCGUACCGGUUCGAGACCGGUCCCCGGCA